rnacentral:lncRNA from 1 species
UCAAAGAAGGGUUUCCCCUUCCGAUUUUCAUUACUGAAAACCAGCAUCUAAAUCUAAACCAUAGUAUUUGCUUUAGAACUACUAGGUUAAACAUCUCGCAACAUAAACCCAUACAACCAUAUGCCAAGGAGGUACGUAGUACUAUGAGUUCCAUUUUCGCUCCAUACCAAUCGUUCUAAAAACUACUUACUACUUAUAACGUGCCAUUGAAAAUCGGAACUCUUAACCCCGCUAAAAAACGAUAUUUUAAACGUGGCUACUCGAUCUGUGGCAACUAGCGAGCCAUCGCUCUCCAAGUCGUUCACCUGUGGUCCCGACCAUCAACUUCUACGGAUCAAAUUAUCACGCAAGCUGACUGUUCCUACAAAGGUGCUCCACCACCUACCCGGUACCCGCGAAUGCAGCAAUCGUGCACCUAGGUGUUUAGGGUUUAUUUGUUAACGUCGCCUUUACGUAACACUCAUGUGUCUGAGACAGCGAGAGGCCGACUGCGUGCGUGCACCCCUUCUCUUUGUAUAUGUACUCCACCGUUUGUCUGGUGUCCAAAAAAUUAUAAUAACUACUAGCAAUGUGCCAAUGCGUUGUCACACGAUCAAAGUAGAUUAAUACAUAUUCACCAAUUUGAUAGAAAAAAGGUCUAGUUUCGAAAUACGUAUAUCACUAAAAAUAUGUUAUGUUUCACUCAAAAUAUAUUCCUUUGGCGGUUUUGAUGAGAUAAGGGAGGAAUGUUGUUGGUUUCAAGAUUCCAGAAGUGGUAUAUGUCUAAUUUCUACUCUUACUAGCAAGAUGCCCGUGUGUUGCACGGAACAUCAAGAUCUUGUGGGAGAAAAGGAUGAACGAGGGAAGGCCUUAUCUGCAAAUGUGGUGAAGAGUGCGGGUAAAUUGCCAUAUUUUCCUUCCUAUCCGUCAGAUAUAAAUUGGACGACCUACAUUGCAGGAUGGUAGGCCCACCAUCAUCACCAACUCUAUUUUUUAUCCCUACUCUUAUAAAAAGCAUUAUUAGUGAUGAUCGUGUGCCUGCCAUCCUACAAUAUAGGCCGUCCGAUCUAUAUCUGGCGGAUAGGAAGGAAAUUAUGGCAAUUUUGCAAAAAUAUACCCACACCCCUCUCCACAUUUGCAAAUAAGGUCUUCCCUCGUUCCUCCUUUUCCCCCACAAGAUAAACUACUCAUACAAAUGCAUCUUGAUGUUCCGUGCAACAUAUGGGCAUCUUGCUAGUUGUUGCAAAAAGCCCAUGUGUGUGUGAGAGAGAGGGAGAGUGGAGGAGGACGGAGUGCAUGUGUGACAAAGACACAAGGAGUGUGUGUGCGAUAGGUAUCAGCUUAAAAUCAGGCGAUAGUGUGUGUGUGGACGAUCAAGAGGGUGUGUCUCAAUAAGGGAAGAAAAAGCUACAUAGAUACAAGGAGCGGGAGAGAGACAUGUAUGCGAUGGUGGAAGCAUGAGUGUGCGGGUGUAUAAACCUAUCUACAGGCUAGCUAGUCGAUAAAUGUUUGUGAGAGAAAUACGAGUCGGGGUGCGAAAGCGAGAGUUUUGUGUGUGUGAGAGAGAGACGGUAGUCGGGAAGGGGAGUGGAAGAAGGAGUUGUGUGUGUGUGUAUGUGUGUGAGAGGAGACGGUAGUCAGGGUUGUCUGAUCGGUAAACAAAUGAAUAAUGUCAGUCUGGGAUGGAGACGAAAAGGAGAACGCAACAAAUAUUGUGUCUAAUUGCUGGCUGCUGGAGUCUAUGGAAGCACAGAAAUAGCAUAAUAUUUGACCACAAAGUUAAGAAUAUGGCAUAUUGUAUAGACAUGUUCAAGAAGCACUUUAGCAUGAUCAUAAAGAAGGCUAAACCUGGUUUGAAGGAGGGCAUGCAAAGCUGGCUAGACCAUUUGUAGAUUUUCUUUUUCUGUUUACUACAUGAUCCAUCUUGUACAUCCAUUUCUCACUGUCCCAUCAUAUUUAUGAAAAUGAGAAUUACAGUGGGGGUCUUCCCCACUGUUUGUUGCUAAAAAAACAAAUAUUGUGUCUACAGGGGAGAGAGAGAGUAAUUUUAGUGGUAUGAGUCAUAUGUAGAGACAUAUAGGGUGUGUGAGAGAAUCCCAUAGAGAGAAAGACAAAGUGAAAGACGAGUGGAGACUGUGUGUGUAGCGGUGAAAAAGAAAGCUUAGGUAUCGAGUGAUACCAGAGAAAAGUAGAGACGUGAGAGAUAAUGAAAACCGUGUAAUGUAUAAUGAUAGGGAAAGUGUGACACUUCUUAAGGGAGACGUCGAGAGACCAUGUUUGCGAGGAUAGGAGAAACAUGAAGUGAACGUGCAGGUGAGCUGGAGAAAGGAGAGUUAUAGCUACCUGAAGGAGCAUGCAUGCGAGAGAUAUGAGCGUGAAAGGAGUAAGCAAAAAAGGGAUUCAAAUAUUUGAAUUCGAGAUGAUGAUACAUGCAUGUAAUCCAUACUCGAACCAAAAUUGAUCUAUCAAACAUGCAUACUCAUAUGAAUUCAUGCACAUCUAUGUUAUUUAAUAUGUAGAUAUUACUGAUCCAUACAUUUUAGUAGAACAAAAUUUGGUUAAAUUUUUUCAAAUUCAACCUUAAGAUUUCGAGAUCGUUGUAUUUGUAAAUAAUAUUAUACAUAUAAAGGAGCAGAAUUCUUUGUUGUGCUUUUGUAAGUAUAAAUGAAAAAAUGACGUAUAUAGAAUGUAAUACCAAUUGAAAAUGGAUCCUGCCCGAAAAAAAUAGAAUACAAACGGGAUUCGGACUGAGUUGGCACGGUAAACGGUGCACUCUUCAAAAUUUGAACGAAGCGGGGAAGUCGCAGUAACCGCCCAAAACCAAAAUCUGCGAGAUGGAAAUUACUAAUGCCUAUCCCUGCCACGCAAAGUCUAUCUGCUGGAUUUCUAUAGGAUUUGAUGGGGGUAGGUUUGUAAUUUCACCCAAACGUGACGUAACCGCCUCUCACCCGGAUUCAUACACUGGGGGGGAGGGGGGGCAAAAUACAGUGUGUCCUCGGCCGAAAUCGACUCCCUCCCCGAUUCAUAUUCAUACACGGUGGGCGCCAAAAAACAAACUCUCAUCGGCAAAUAUUCGGUGUAUGCGAGAUUACCGUCCUAUCCCCAACCGACUAAUGUUGUUGUGAUGUAGUAGAAAUUUGAAACGGGGGCUAAGUUUUUUAAUUUCCUCGCAUUUGAGACAAGCGGACCCUGAAUACAUGGUUCCCCCCUUCCUCUCUACCUCCCUUUUCCCCAUUCGUACUCCGUGGGCGCCAAAACACUCUCUCCACACCACCCUCCUCCAUUCGUUGCCGUCCGCCACCCCAUCCACCGCCGUCCUCCUCCACCAUGCCGGAGCUGAUACCCCGACGCCGCCAUCCAUUACAAGAGAUCGACCCCUCUCAUCCAUGCCUUCGGACCGGGAUCCUUGCAUCCCGUCCUCUCGCUUCAUCCCCGCCAUCGUCCACCUUGUCGGCGCCGCUCCUACGACCGUCUCAUCCACCACGCCCCGCCGCCACCGUCUACCCUCCUAGAUUUGGUUCCACGUUGCCGACAGCCAUCGCUACCGCAGCACCAUCAAAUUCUCAGCAGAUGCGUGCAUGGCGCCGCACCAGAGGCGGUACUCUUUCGUGUCUGCUCGACUUAUUUAUCGCAGCAAGAAAAUAGAUCGCCACUGCUUUACUCUGAUUUCUUGUCUUGGUUGCGAAGUUGCCUUUGUAUGUGAUCCAUAGUGGAAAUCUCUACCAAGACUUAUAUUUUGGAACGGAGGGAGCAUGAUAGUAGUACAGUAUGUUCCUUGUACUGAAGAUGAGCGGGGACAUUUGUAGUGUAGAGGUCUAUACGGUCGGUUGUGAUGGACACUUUGAGCCUCUUUGAUUCGUAGGCUCUUGUAAACAUAGGAAUAGGAUUUGUAGUGGCCAGCCCACUUGAAUCCUAUAAGAAUAGCAAGGAAAUGCGGGGAGUUGUGUCGCCUUUGAGAGUUACACUGAUAUUAACAGUGCGACACCUUCACUUGAAGAGAGCUGGUAUCCGAAGCCUUUCUAGCCGUACCGGCAAUACUAACACAUAUAUUCUAGCAAGUUCCACUUUGCUGAUUUUACUCUGAUGCUUACGGUUUUCCCCAUUAUAUCUACACUAUGAUCUGUGUAGCUGCUUUGUGUCGCACUAGUAGCAGUCCACUCUUGAAGCUAAACACUACAAUGACUUAAAAAAUUGGCACCAAGGCAUUGAGUGCCAUUCUGGAUGCAAUGAAACUCAUACGCUCCCCACCUGUUGAUUUUUGUUCAGAAUAGGAUCCUAAUGACUAUUCUAACCUCGAGGAGUCAAAGGCAGAUGGCAUGUCCUGUUCACCCAUCAAGGUGCCUGUUCUAAUUUGGCAAUGUUUUAUUGAUUGCGGGUAUCUUGCAUAUGUUGUCUUGCAUUUCUUAUACUUUGUUCCACCGCCAUCUGCUUAGUUUACUCAUCAUAUAUGUUGAGAUGCCAUGCCCAUCCAUUAUCAAUACAUAUUCCAUCUGUCAUCAAACCAUGUUUUUCCACUCAAAUGUUGUUCUUGUGCAUCAAACAUCAAAAUGGAAGAGGGUGAUUGCCGAACCUGAAGGAGCACCAGCAAAGUCCUUGAAAAACGUGGUGGUGCCGGAGAGAUCAGACAGCACCCCACUUAUAUUGGCUGUACAACCAGUGACACAAAACAUAGGACCGACUCCAGUAGACUGUACCCAUACUUCACUAGCCCCACCACACAGGACCUGCACUCCAGCAAAAGGUAUACUGAUUUCAUUUGCCAUAGCACCAGCCGUACCAUAGAAAAAUCCCACUCCAGCAAAAAGUACAGCAAGUCCAUCGGCCGAAGACCUAUCCCAACUGCAGAGACGGCCAAUUCCUGCAGAUUGGAACCCCAUUCCAUUUAUUCCUAGUUUAAAAGACAAUGCUUUCAAUGUUGUUAGGGACUACGUGCAUAUAUUCCCAUCAUGGGAAGAUUAUUGUGAAAACAAACACCAUUUUCACAUCUUCCUGUCCAACUUACGUGUAAGUGCUAUUAUUCAUGGUUAAUAUUUUCCAGUUUUCUGUUGAUUGAACACAUCAAUGAUUUACAUUACAUUGUUGUAACUAGGCGAGGGUCAAUCUGGAUAGUCAUGACGAGCAAAGCUUGCUUGUGCUUUUCAAGGAAGCAUUGUUGCAGUAUCGGUGUUACCUGAGGAAAUCACACUUUGAUGGCAAGUCUAUAAACAAAUUUCUGGUGAAGUCUCGUGUGCUAAAUUUAGAAGACAUUGAAUGGAAAAACCUUGUUUUGCACUGGUCUCGUUCCCAGGAUGAGGUACUGUCUAUGAAAUCACAUGACAAUUUGAACUUCUACUUUUCCCCAUGUGCCUUACGGAUCCUUUUUGCAGGAAAUCUGCUCGAAGAAGAAUUCCGGUUUGAAAAGAACGAUGGGAUAUCACAAAUAUGCUGCCCGCUGCUUUGCUCUUGUUAGUACCUGUUGUCCUGUAUCACUGUACUUGCAUACAUACCUAGUUCAUUAUGUGACAGUAGUAUGCAUGAUAGCUUGCUUAUCAAUUCUUCGCUCCAAAUUAUCUGAUCUGUAUGAAUGGUUACAUUAGUGUAGAAUAUAUCCAAUGCCAAUGUUUUUUAGCUCUGCAUUGUUCUUGUAAGUACAUGUUCUCCUUUAUCAGUGUACUUAUAAUGACAGGUAGUUGUUCAUGUACCAUCACUCUGCAGCUUAUUUUCCUUUGCCCUCCAUUUUUUACACAUCAGAUCUGUAUUUACUCUUACCAUAACGUUGGUACUGGAGAAGUUUAGCUGUGCAUUGCUCUUGGCUGUACCUUAUGCCUGUAUCGCUGCACUUACAUUUAUAGCUACUUGGUUAUGUAGCAUCACUCUUCAUCUUAUCUUAAAUAUUCUCCAUUUUUCGUAUAUUAUCACAUCUAUAUUUACUCUUAACAAAAUGUAGAAUAAAGGCAAUGCUUAUGAAGAAGAUUCUAUGGUAAACUUCUUGAAUUGCCCCCCAUCAGCAUGGACAAGGCCUUUAUAGAGCCUGUCUUCACCAAUAAUGUAAGUUUGUCCAUCUCAAGCCUUCAAACUUUGUUAUAUAUAUUUGGUUAGGCAUGACUGCAACAACUGUUUAUUUUUGGUGUUUGCAUCAAAUUGCAUGUUUAAAGUUUAUUAUGUAGUUCAUAAACAAAAGUUUGUCCUUUCUCAAUUUAACAUUUCAGUUGUACAACCAAGUUCCUUCUUCAUACCAUGUAAAUUAAACUAUACAGAGCAAGUGAUCUUCUUUUGCACUGCAUGUAUGCUUCUGUUCUUCAUCCGUAAUCCAGUGGUGUGGUGAACCUACCAACUACAGCACAAUGUCAUAUUCUGCAAUGUCUUAACUAUGAACAAUGUCAUAUCAUUCUACUAUUAUUUAAACCGUCUCUUUAUUUGCCAAUCUGAAAUGGGAUAAACUGACAGCACACUAACAAUUGAUACUUAUGAGUUCUCGAUCUGUAAUCCAGUGGUGUCGUGAAGCUGCCAACUCCUACACAAUGUCAUUUCCUGCCAUGUCUUGACCUGAACAAUACCAUAUUGUGUUAACGCAAUUUUAAACUGUGUCACUUUAUUCGUCAGUAAGAAAUGUGAUGAAUUGUCAACACUGAUACUUUUCUGUGCAAAACCUAUCAUCUGGCUGCUUAUUUAUCUUUCAGAGUGAGGAAGAUAUAAGUGUUGAACAAGCGCAGUCUCAUCAUCUUGCUCAGCUGCUUGCGCUGCAGCUCCCCAGUAGGGCUAACCUUUCUUGAACUCUAUUGAAGUGCUGUCGGUUUUCAAUAUUAUUUUGUCGGCGUGUUUAUUUGCACCAGUGGCGAUCUUUGAUGCCCAGUGUAUGUAAUCUGCUAUGUGCUUGUGCUUUAUUAUCAUAGUGGCGAACUUUGAUGCCCAGUGGAUGUAAUAUGUUGUAAUUUCUUUAUUGUAUAGUCUAGGUUUUUUCUUAUUCACGAUGCUGCAGUUAUUUUACUGUAUAUAUAUCCUGUCUUCGCAGUAAACCGGCCAAACCGUAAAAUUACGGUACAUAAUCCGGCCGUCAUGCAAUCACGAGGUAGGUUGGGCCUGAAACGUGCCGAACAGCUGACGGGCCGGCAGCAGCCCGAAAUGAACCCCGGCCCAAGAUCGUGCGAAUAAAAUCACGGGCUUUUAAUAGGCCAAAAUUGUCUCGGUCCUUGUUUGGCCCAAUCAGAUAUCGGUUGCGAGCAGGCCAGAUGCAAACCGAGCCGUAGUUAGGCCCAACUAUAUGACGGGCUUUUAACAGGCCGAAAUUAAUAUAGGGCCGAAAUGUUAAACGUGCCCUUAAUAGGCCAAAACUAAUAUGAGGCCGAAUUACUAAGUGGGGCUUUAGCAAGUGGGCCCAAAAGCAUAGUGUCCAGUUGAUGGGCUGAAUCUGAUAUGGGCCAUAAUUGAGCCCAAAGCCUCUUAAAGGUCCGCACUUGAUCUGGGUCGUAAUUUGUCCCAGAACGUGGUAGGCUUUUAAUGGGCCGGAUAUCAUAUGGGCCACUAGUAGGCCCGGAACGUGGCAGGACAUUAAUGGACCGGAUCAAAUAUGGGCCGGCAUUUGGCCCAAAACAUGGCAGUCGGUUAAAGGGCCAGCCUACUAGGGUCCUCAAAAUCUUAUGGGCCUAUAGCUGGGCCGGCCCAUUAAUGUCGGCGAAAUCUCGUGGGCCUUUAGCUGGGCCCGCCCAUUAUGAUCCGCAAGAAUCUUGUGGGCCUUUACCUGGGCCGACCCAUUAUGGCACACAAAAAUCUUGUGGGCCUUUACCUGGGCCGGCCCAUUACGGCCUGCAAAAUCUUGUGGGCCUUUAGCUGGGCCAGCCCAUUAUGGUCCGGAAAAUCUCAUGGGCCUUUAGCUGGGCCGGCCCAUUAUGGUCCACAAAAUCUUGUGGGCCUUUAGUUGGGCCGGCCCAUUUAAACUUGAUGGGCCGGUCCACGUGUCAACAUAUCAUAGGCGGGUCUCGCCCAUUGGAUGAGUGACACCUGUGCCAGCGCGGACCUGACACGUGUCUCCUCCAGCCAAUGAUGAUUUUACACGUGGAAAAUCCCCAUUGGUCGGGGCUGUUAACGGGUUAUCGGAUCCAAAACCCGACCUGAUAGCUUAACGGCGUUCCGUUAUGGUGGAUGCCACGUGUCGGUCACCCUUGAUGAAAGCACUUCUGUGACGCGCGAUUUAUCAUCAUGGAAGUGGACAGUUCCGUGAUGAUAAUUUUGGUAAUGUCAUGGAACACUUCUACGAUAGCACAGGUAUGACUAUCUUGAUUCUGUCAUAAAUUUGUCAUUGAUGUACAUGCAUGACAAAAAACGCGACCUACUGUGAGAAACACGUAUCAUCACGGAAGUGUAUUUUUUUGUAGUGAUUAGUUUUAGACCUGAAUAAUUGUUAUAUGGUGCCAGUGUUAAGCAUGAACAUUAUAUGUGGAUCUUGUUUGAUGCGAGACGGUUAUUCAUUUAAAUAUGAGAAUAAUGGUUGUUCUAUUUAUAUGAGUAAUAUCUUUUAUGGUCAUGCACCCUUGAAGAGUGGUCUAUUUGUGUUAAAUCUCGAUAGUAGUGAUACACAUAUUCAUAAUGUUGAAGCCAAAAGAUGCAGAGUUGAUAAUGAUAGUGCAACUUAUUUGUGGCACUGCCGUUUAGGUCAUAUUGGUGUAAAGCGCAUGAAGAAACUCCAUACUGAUGGACUUUUGGAAUCACUUGAUUAUGAAUCACUUGGUACUUUCAAACCAUGCCUCAUGGGCAAGAUGACUAAAAUGACGUUCUCCGGAACAAUAGAUCAAGCAACAGAUUUGUUGGAAAUCAUACAUACUGAUGUAUGUGGUCCAAUGAAUAUUGAAGCUCGCGGUGGGUAUCGUUAUUUUCUCACCUUCACAGAUGAUUUGAGCAGAUAUGGGUAUAUCUAUUUAGUGAAACAUAAGUCUGAAACAUUUGAAAAGUUCAAAGAAUUUCAGAGUGAAGUUGAAAAUCAUCGUAACAAGAAAAUAAAGUUUCUACGAUAUGAUCGUGGAGGAGAAUAUUUGAGUUAUGAGUUUGGUCUACAUUUGAAACAAUGCGGAAUAGUUUCGCAACUCACGCCAACCAGAACACCACAGCGUAAUGGUGUGUCCGAAUGUCGUAAUUGUACUUUACUAGAUAUGGUGCGAUCUAUGAUGUCUCUUACUGAUUUACCGCUAUCGUUUUGGGGUUAUGCUUUAGAGAAGGCUGCAUUCAAGUUAAAUAGGGCACCAUCUAAAUCCGUUGAGACAACUCCUGAUGUACUAUGGUUUGGCAAGAAACCAAAGUUGUCGUUUCUUAAAGUUUGGGGCUGCGAUGUUUAUGUGAAAAAGCUUCAACCUCAUAAGCUCGAACCCAAGUCGGAGAAAUGUGUCUUCAUAGGAUACCCAAAAGAAACAGUUCGGUACACAUUAUAUCACAGAUCCAAAGGCAAGACUUUUGUUGCUAAGAAUGGAUCCUUUCUAGAGAAGGAGUUUCUCUCAAAAGAAGUGAGUGGGAGGAAAGUAGAACUUGAUGAGGUAACUCUACCUGCUCCCUUAUUAGAAAGUAGUUCAUCACAGAAACAGGUUUCUGUGACACCUACACCAAUUAGUGAGGAAGCUAAUGAUGAUGAUUAUGGAACUUCAGAUCAAGUUACUACCGAACCUCAUAGGUCAACUAGAGUAACAUCUGCACCAGAGUGGUAGGGUAAUCCUGAUCUGGAAGUCAUGUUACUAGAUCAUGACGAACCUACGAACUAUGAGGAAGCGAUGAUGAGCCCAGAUUCCCCAAAAUGGCAUGAGGCCAUGAAAUAUGAGAUGGGAUCCAUGUAUGAGAACAAAGUAUUGACUUUGGUUGACUUGUUGGUUGAUCGGCAAGCCAUCAAGAAUAAAUGGAUCUUCAAGAAGAAGACAGACGCUGACGGUAAUGUUACUGUCUACAAAGCUCGACUUGUUGCGAAAGGUUUCUACAAGUUCAAGGAGUUGACUACGAUGAGACCUUCUCACCCGUAGCGAUGCUUAAGUCCGGCCGAAUCAUGUUAGCAAUUGCCUCAUUUUAUGAUUAUGAAAUUUGGCAAAUGGAUGUAAAGAUUGCAUUCCUAAAUGAAUUUCUGGAAGAAGAGUUGUAUAUGAUGCAACCGGACGGUUUUAUCGAUCCAAAGGGUGCUAACAAAGUGUGCAAGCUCCAGUGAUCCAUUUAUGGACUGGUGCAAGCCUCUCGGAGUUGGAAUAAACGUUUUGAUUGUGUGAUCAAAGCAUAUGGUUUUAUACAGACUUUUGGAGAAGCCUGUAUUUACAAGAAAGUGAGUGGGAGCUCUGUAGCAUUUCUAAUCUUAUAUGUGGAUGACAUAUUGUUGAUUGGAAAUGAUAUAGAAUUUCUGGAUAGCAUAAAACGAUACAUGAAUAAGAGUUUUUCAAUGAAGGACCUCGGUGAAGCUGCUUACAUAUUGGGCAUCAAGAUCUAUAGAGAUAGAUCAAGAUGCUUAAUUGGACUUUCACAAAGCACAUACCUUUACAAAGUUUUGAAGAAGUUCAAAAUGGAUCAGGAAAAGAAAGGGUUCUUGCCUGUGUUACAAGGUGUGAAGUUGAGUAAGACUCAAUGCCCGAUCACUACAGAAGAUAGAUAGAAAAUGAAAGAUGUUUUGUAUGCUUCAGCCAUAGGCUCUAUCAUGUAUGCAAUGAUGUGUACCAGACCUGAUGUGUGCCUUGCUAUUAGUUUAGCAGGGAGGUACCAAAGUAAUCCAUGAGUAGAUCACUGGACAGCGGUCAAGAACAUCCUGAAAUACCUAAAAAGGACUAAGGAUAUGUUUCUCGUUUAUGUAGGUGACAAAUAGCUCAUCGUAAAUGGUUACGUUGAUGCAAGCUUUGCUACUGAUCCGGACGAUUCUAAAUUGCAAACCGGAUACGUGUUCAUAUUGAACGAUGGACCUGUCAGUUGGAGCAGUUCUAAACAAAGCAUCAUGGCGGGAUCUACGUGUGAUGCGGAGUACAUUGCUGCUUCGGAAGCAGCGAAUGAAGGAGUCUGGAUGAAGGAGUUCAUAUCUGAUCUAGGUGUUAUACCUAGUGCAUCGGGUCCAAUGAAAAUCUUUUGUGACAAUACUGGUGCAACUGCCUUGGCAAAGGAAUCCAGAUUUUAUAAGAGAACCAAGCACACCAAGAGACGCUUCAAUUCCAUCUGCGAUCAAGUCCAGGUGGGAGACAUAGAGAUUUGCAAGAUACAUAUGGAUCUGAACAUUCCAAACCCGUUUACUAACCCUCCUCCACGAGCAAAACAUGAUCAGCACCAAGACUCCAUUGGUGUUAGAAUCAUUACUGUGUAAUAUAGAUUAUUGACUCUAGUGCAAGUGGGAGACUGAAGGAAAUAUUCCCUAGAGGCAAAAAUAAAGUUAUUAUUUAUGUCCUCAUAACAUGAUAAAUGUUUAUUAUUCAUACUAGAAUUGUAUUAACCAGAAACGUAAUACAUGUGUGAAUAUAUAGACAAACAUAGUGUCACUAGUAUGCCUCUACUUAACUAGCUCAUUAAUCAAAGAUGGUUAAGUUUCCUAACCAUAUACAUGAGUUUUCAUUUGAUUAACGGGAUCACAUCAUUAGGAGAAUGAUGUGUUGACUUGACCCAUUCCAUUAGCUUAGCACUUGAUCGUUUAGUAUGUUGCUAUUGCUUUCUUCAUGACUUAUACAUGUUCCUAUGACUAUGAGAUUAUGCAACUCCCGUUUACCGGAGGAACACUUUGUGUGCUACCAAACUUCACAACGUAACUAGGUGAUUAUAAAGGUGCUCUACAGGUGUUUCCGAAGGUACUUGUUGAGUUGGCGUAUUUUGAGAUUAGGAUUUGUUAGUCCGAUUGUCGGAGAGGUAUCUCUGGGCCCACUCGGUAAUACACAUCACUAUAAGCCUUGCAAGCAUUGUAACUAAUGAGUUAGUUGGGGGAUGAUGUAUUAUGAAACGAGUAAAGAGACUUGCCAGUAACGAGGUUGAACUAGGUAUUCAGAUACCGACGAUCGAAUCUCGGGGAAGUAACAUACCGAUGACAAAGGGAACAUCGUAUGUUGUUAUGCGGUUUGACCGAUAAAGAUCUUCGUAGAAUAUGCAGGAGCCAAUAUGAGCAUCCAGGUUCCGCUAUUGGUUAUUGAUCGGAGACGUGUCUCGGUCAUGUCUACAUAGUUCUCGAACCCGUAGGGUCCGCAUGCUUAAAGUUUGGUGACGAUCGGUAUUAUGAAUUUUUGUGUUUUGAUGUACCAAAGGUAUUUAUAAGUCCCGGAUAUGAUCACGGACAUGACGAGGAGUCUCGAAAUGGUCGAGACGUAAAGAUCGAUAUAUUGGACGACUAUAUUCGGACACCAGAAGUGUUCCGGGUGGUUUAGGAGAAAACCGGAGUGCCGGAGGGUUACCGGACCCCCCCCACCCCGGGAGAAACAAUGGGCCUUAGUGGAGAGAGAGAGAGGGAUGGCCUAGGGCAGGCCACGCGCCCCUCUGAGGGAGUCCUGGAUUAGGGUGUCCUCGAACAGCCGGACUAUGUACUUGUGCCGAACUGUUGGACUAUGAAGAUACAAGAUUGAAGACUUCGUCCCGUGUCCGGGUGGGACUCUCCUUUGCGUGGAAGGCAACCUUGGCAAUUCAGAUAUGUAGAUUUCCUUCUCUGUAACCGAUUCUGUAUAACUGUAGCCCCCUCCAGUGUCUAUAUAAACCGGAGGGUUUAGUCUGUAGGACAACAACAAUCAUAAUAAUAGGCUAGCUUUUAGGGUUUAGCCUCUAUGAUCUCGUGGUAGAUCAACUCUUGUAAUACUCAUAUCAUCAAGAUCAAUCAAGCAGGAAGUAGGGUAUUACCUCUAUAGAGAGGGCCCGAACCUGGGUAAACAUUGUGUCCCCCACCUCCUAUUACCAUUAGCCUUAGACGCAUAGUUCGGGACCCCCUACCCGAGAUCCGCCGGUUUUGACACCGACAUUGGUGCUUUCAUUGAGAGUUCCACUGUGUCGUCAUGGUGAGGCUUGAUGGCUCCUUCAAUCAUCCACAACGAUGCGAUCCAGGGUGAGGUUUUCCUCCCCGGACAGAUCUUCAUAUUCGGUGGCUUCGCACUGCCGGCCAACUUGCUUGGCCAUCUGGAGCAGAUCGAUAGCUACGCCCCUGGCCAUCAGGUCGGGUUUGGAAGCCUAAACUAGACUACCGACAUCCGUGGAGACUUGAUCUUCAACUGAUUCGAGCCCAUGUCAGGUGCACCGAACCGUCAUGAUGAGCAUGACUUAGAUCUACCAUCGGACGGUGUUUGCGAGAUCACACCUAUAGCUGCCCCGGCUCUAAAUCCGGAGCAGACCGUGUCGUCCGAGGAUGGGUGGAUAGACCCCACCAAGGAGGUCGCACGCUCAUCGGCAGUAGAGCCUAACACAAACUUCACCUCCAAUGAGGUAUGUGUCAUCGGGCCCUCAGACUCGUCUCCGGCCGUAGGCUCCGAACCGCGUGCAUCCGUGCCCAUCGAACCAGACUGGGCACCGAUCGUGGAGUUUACCUCCACGGAUAUCUUUCAGCACUCGCCCUUUGGGAGACGUACUAAGCUCAUUAAAAUCUCUCUCCCUAUCGGAGACUCCUGGCCGAACUAUGUUUGCCUUGAGUGGGAAGUAGACGACGAAGAAAUUCGUUUCCCACCCACCACUCACUUAAUAGCCACUGUCGAUGACUCCACCGACAUGCUUGAUUUCAACUCCGAAGACAUCGACGGUAUGAAUGACGAUGCCGGAGAAGAACAGGAACCACCGCCCGCAGGGGGCUGGACAACCACCUAAUCAUAUGAUACAUACAUGGUGGACACACCCAAAGAAAACAAUGGCGAGGAACGGAAGGAUGCAACGGAGGAUAAUCCCCUUGAGAAGUAACCAAAGCAUCAACGUCAGCGGCGCCGCUCUAAAUCCCGCCACAGCAAAAACAACGAUAAUGGCAAAAGAAAGAAUCACACCCCGAACGAUCCCAAAGACAACGACGACCCCAUGGACCCAGCGAUGGAGCAAGAUGAGCCAGGGGAUGGCGAUCAUAGUCCGAGGCCGCUGUCUGAUCACAGCGAUGCCGAAGACAAAACGUAUAAACCUGUCCCCGGAGAGGAGAACAGUCCGGACGACGAUGCAUUCAUCGUCCCAAAAAAGCACUUGGAACGAGAGAACCUCCACAAAAGGCUUAUCGCCACCGCGAGGAGCUUGAAGAAGCAGAAGCAAAGGCUUAAAGCCGCGCAGGAUACGCUCAACCGCAGAUGGAACAAAGUGCUUGACACUGACGAAAAAUACGGCGGCGAUCGCCACACAAAGAGCUACCCAAAGCGCAAGCUGCUGCCCGAAUUCGACGACGAGGCCAUAGAGCCCAUCCCGCCAAAAAACAACAUGGCCGAUCUGCCGGACCAACCACCCCGUGGACAGGGCGGCUAAUGACGCCGCACACAAGUCAGCACACGAUUUACGUGAGCACCUAGAGAAAAGAGCCAGUAUGGCCAGGUCCAUCUAUGGAUCUAGGAAGCAUGCUCCGGCGCAGGAUCACGGCCACCAAAACGACUAUACUGAUCGAAUACCGGCUCGGAAUCAACACCGAAUAUUACAACCGUCGGAAGCAUGUCAUGACACAUCCAAAUACAGGGGUGCCGCGCACCCCCUGUGUUUCACCGAUGAGGUGCUGGACCACGAAUUUCCAAAGGGAUUUAAACCCGUAAACAUAGAGGCAUACGACGGAACGACAGACCCUAUGGUCUGGAUUGAGGACUUUAUGCUUCACAUCCACAUGGCUCGCGGAGACGAUCUCCACGCCAUCAAAUACCUGCCCCUCAAGUUGAAAGGACCAGCUCGGCACUGGUUAAAAAGCCUCCCCGAAAACUCAAUUGGAAGUUGGGAGGAACUUGAGGAGGCGUUCAAGGACAAUUUUCAAGGGACCUAUGUCCGACAUCCGGACGCAAAUGAUUUAAGUCACAUAAUCCAACAACCCGGAGAGUCGAGCCGUAAGCUUUGGAACAGAUUUCUCACUAAGAAGAACCAAAUCGUCGACUGCCCGGAUGCCAAAGCCUUAGCGUCUUUCAAACACAGUGUCCGGGACGAAUGGCUCGCCAGACACCUCGGCCAGGAAAAACCGAGGACAAUGGUAGCCCUAACAAGCCUCAUUAUCCGCUUUUGCACAGGCGAGGACAGUUGGUUGACCCGCAGCGGCACCUGCGACCCAGGCACAUCCGAAGUCAGGGACGUCAAUGGGAAGCCGCGACGCAAUAAAACCAAGUGUCGAAAUAAUGAAGACAGCCCAGACAACACGCCGGUAAAUGCCGGAUUGAGGGGCUCUCGACCCGGUUAACGGAAAAAGCCAUCUAAAGGCAGCAGAGAUGGACCGUCCAGGCAAAACAAAAUUCUAGACAGAUCAUGUCAGAUUCAUGGCACCCUCGAGAAACCUGCAAAACACACCAACAGAGAAUGCUGGGUCUUCAAGCAGGCCGCCAAGCUAAACGCCGAACACAAGGGGAGGGAGUCGCCAAGUGAAGACGAGGCCGAACCUCGCCAGCCGAACACUUGGGACAGAAAAAAUUUCCACCAGAGGUCAAAACAGUGAACAUGAUUUACACGACCCACAUACCAAAGAGGAAGCGCAAACGCGCACUCCGAGACGUAUAUGCUGUAGAACACGUCGCCCCCAAAUUCAACCCAUGGUCAGCCUGCCCGAUCACUUUCGAUCGCAGGGAUCAUCCAACUAGUAUCCGACAUGGAGGUUCGACUGCCUUGGUGCUCGACCCAAUAAUUGACGGAUACCAUCUCACCCGAUUCCUCACGGACGGUGGUAGUAGUUUUAAUCUGAUAUACCAGGACACUGUUCGUAAAAUGGGGAUAGACCCGUCAAGAAUCAGCCAAAGCAGUACUACCUUUAAAGGAGUAAUACCAGGCGUAGAGGCCUCCUGUACGGGCUCUCUAACAUUAGAGGUUGUAUUCGGUUCUCCCGACAUCUUUCGAAGAGAAGAACUAACCUUCGACAUCGCUCCAUUUCGAAGCGGUUAUCACACACUACUCGGAAGAGUGGCCUUUGCUUGUUUUAGUGCAGUACGGCAUGACGCUUAUCUUAAACUUAAGAUGCCCGGUCCACAUGGCGUCAUCACAAUCAGCGGAAAUAUAGAGCGUUCCUUGCAUGCGGAAGAGUAUGUGGGGGCUCUAGGAGCCGAACCACUGAACGGCCUCUCCAACCCGAAUAAAUGAUCGGUCGUCGAGACCACGGACACGGCUAGAAGUGUCCGGCGCAUCGCUAGUGGUAGCAGCACAGAUAAACCUGAUCUUGGAAGACGGAUAUGCCCCCAUAUGUGGUGCUAGCCCGCAUGUAAAAGGGUCCAUAGUUCGGUCAAUAGUUGGGUUUGCCCGGCUCCCGUGUUUUCUACCUUAUGUUCCGCUUUAUCGGCUAAGGUGGCACCGAGAGAACUACUACGGUUGUCCCUGGUUCAUCUGGAUGAGCACCUCAGUAGUGAAAGCCGAAAACUGACUGUCAUGAUAAAGCGAGAGACUGGUCAACCACUCGAUGACCCAGCGGAAUCUUCGCGAUUCCUCCGCAUUAACGAAGGACCGGAUUUUGGGUCACGUAUGUACGUGCCCUGUAUUCGGAUGAACGUGAACAUACCAAGGGCUAUAUAGUAGCCCCACCGUCAAACUCCUAUGGCUAAGUGAAAGUGUUAAAGCUAUUAGUCCGAUUUCCUUGUUUGCCACGCCAUCACCUCCUUAACGGACCAAGACGUUGGAUCAAGUGUGAUUAUGCGCUUUACCGAACACCCCCGCAUUAUAUGCAUGAGGGCUGAAGCCGACGACUGCAAACUUUCAGGUUAUAUACAUACAUACAUAAAACGGCCGCACAGGAGGCACUACAAUACUUUUUUGACUAUAUACUGCAAGGCAACAUCCUCACAGUCCUUUAUUAAAGCCAGGUAGCAAAAGAGAUACAAAGUGACAAUAAAAGAACCAAGGUUAGGGAGGAGAGGCUACUUACAAGGAGUGUUUAAGGUAGGGUGUCGGUGUCAAAACCGGCGGAUCUCGGGUAGGGGGUCCCGAACUGUGCAUCUAGGAGGAUGGUAACAGGAGACAAGGGACACGAUGUUUUACCCAGGUUCGGGCCCUCUCGAUGGAGGUAAAACCCUACGUCCUGCUUGAUUAAUAUUGAUGAUAUGGGUAGUACAAGAGUAGAUCUACCACGAGAUCAAGGAGGCUAAACCCUAGAAGCUAGCCAAUGGUAUGAUUGUUGUUCGUCCUAUGGACUAAAACCCCCCGGUUUAUAUAGACACCGGAGAGGGCUAGGGUUACACAGAGUCGGUUACAAUGGUAGGAGAUCUACAUAUCCGUAUCGCCAAGCUUGCCUUCCACGCCAAGGAAAGUCCCAUCCGGACACGGGAUGAAGUCUUCAAUCUUGUAUCUUCAUAGUCUUGGAGUCCGGCCAAUGAUGAUAGUUCGGCUAUCCGGACAACCCCUAGUCCAGGACUUCCUCAGUAGCCCCUGAACCAGGCUUCAAUGACGACGAGUCCGGCGCGCAUAUUGUCUUCGGCAUUGCAAGGCGGGUUCCUCCUCCGAAUUCUUCAUAGAAGAUUGUGAACACCAGGAUAGUGUCCGGCUCUGCAAAAUAAAUUCCACAUACCACCGUAGAGAGAAUAAUAUUUACAUAACUUCAAUCUGCUGACGUAUUUCAUAGCAUGACAUCACGCCACGGCCAAGCCUUUACUCAAAUUGUUUUUAUUGUUCCACCUCAACGUGUUUAGCGAAGCGGUUUCCUUGGCACGUCUUGUCAAAGCAGAGAUCGUGUCACCUUAUUCCGGGAUUCUCAUCAAUACGGGCGUGGGUAACCGAACCGCGCCAUUGAUUACGGUGCUUGGGAGAUAAGCGAGUUUUAUCAGGCUGGUGGGGACGUAUAGUUUUGUCCGUCCAUAUAAGGGGAUAAGGAUCCACCUUUUUACCUACGCCUUCUUCCUCCUUUGCUUAUCCAUUUCCGCGCACUAGAGCUCCAACACCCAAGUCCGCACAUCCCGCCUCAACCUUCCCCAGCCAUGUCCGGAGCGGGAGGCAAGUGGAUGGUUUCCUCCGUAACGGAGGGACAAGUCAAAAAGCUGCGGAAGGCCGGAUACUUGUCCAGCGACAUCUCGCAUCGGCUCCCCGACAAGGGGCAGCUCCUUCCUACCCCCAGGCCCCAUGAGAGGGUGGUGUUCCUCACCCACUUCCUCCGCGGACUAGGUUUUCCACUUCACCCAUUUGUCCGGGGGCUCAUGUUCUACUAUGGCCUAGAUUUCCACGAUCUGGCCCCGAAUUUCAUCCUCAACAUCUCGGCGUUCACUCGUGUGCGAGGCCUUCCUCUGCACCCAGCCCCACUUUGGCUUAUGUCUGAAGAUUUUUAAUGUCAAGUCGAAGGUAGUGGGCGGCCGCCAAGCGGAGUGUGGAGGUGCCAUGGCGGGCCGAACGGCCAACGUCCUAUGGCUCGAGGGCUCCUUUGUGGAGACAAUAAAGGGGUGGCAAUCGUGGUGGUUCUACAUCACCGAGCCGCGCGACCCCAAAUGGGCGGCGGCCCCCGAAUUCCGAUCUGGUUUCCCCACAAGGCUUACCUCCUGGAAAGUGACGGGCCUAGCAUGGGGAGAUUUGGAAGAGCUGACCGGACUCCAAGCCUGCAUCCAAAAGCUGGUGAACAAGAAUCUCAAGCUUGUCAACGUGGUCCAGGUCAUGCUCAUACGCCGGAUCCUCCCGUGCCAACAACGGGCUUUCAAAUUGUGGGAGUUUGAUCCGGCACAGCACCAAACCUUGAGCAGGAUCUUCGACACUACGUACGAAAAUGCCUGGAAGGUGCUGUUCAAGGGCGCCGAGGCUCCCGCAUCCGCUACCAAAGAUCGCGGAUUCAGCUCGCAGUAUAAAGCCGACGAGGUAAGCUAUUUUAUCCUUUAUAAGAUACUUUUUCAUAGUUUGAUACUAUGCGGGAUAUAAACUCCCUCACCUUUGACAGGACUGGCUGAAGAAGGCCGAGCAGGCUGACUGUCCGGCUCCUUUGCCAGAAGACCGAGCGGACGCCCGCUUAGCGGGGCUGCUGGUUCCGGCACCCCACGUGGUGCCGGAGAAGAAGGCCAAGAAGAAGGCCACAGGAACUCGAAAGAGUUCCCGGCGUCAGGUGUUAUCGGACUCAUCGUCCGAUGACUCUGAGGCGAACUCCUCCCGCAAAGACGAGGAGGAGAAGAAAGAAGCUUCUUCCCCAACGGCGGAAGAGAAGAAAAGGAAGGCCUCCCCAACUGGGGAGGCCGGAGAGUCCAAGAAGGGAAGGACCCUUCCUUCGGACUAUUCUGCCAACGCCGGCGACGGCAACGAGGAUUGGCCUUCAAGGGACAAGCCCCUGGCGAGAUCGUAAGUAUCCGGACUCCCGAAUAGCUCAUAACUUUUCUUUUCGUCGCAUGGUGUCUUCCUAAUGCCGCAUACAACCCUGUAGUCCGCCCAAGGACGAUCUUCCCGCUUCGUCGAGCGGGUCCUUGGGUACAUUGGAUGUGGAUAGCACUUCACUUCCGACCGCAUCCUCCCCCCUUAAUGAAGCCGAGGUGGGAUCCCGGAAAGGGACCCACCAGGAGGAGGAGGCCCCGGAGGUGCCGCAAGGCAACCUCCCGGACUUUGGACCGGACUUCGCAUCGGAACCUGCAGUGGUUCCUGAGUCCGGCAGGCGGCCCCUUCCUAAGAAGGGCAAGACUGUGACGCCGGCGCCUCCGUCCAACCGGAGGCGCCGGAUAACUUGCUGGAGCCGCUCAAUGGCACUUCCAUCAAAGAGGAACACCGCACUGUCAUGAGUGCGGUGAUUCAGAAGGUUCAGCUCGCCAAGAGCGGGCUGACCGAAGCCUGCAGCAGCCUUCUAACAGGCUUUGAGGUAAGAGUUUUAAGAUAUGUAAAAUAGUACCGCAUAGACAGUUGCCCCUGAUGCUCGGUUCGGUAUUCGGAAGGAAAACCCGGACUGAGGAUCUAAAAAGAUAUACGCAGGAGUCUUAACAAAAAUAUGUCAAUAUGGGAAUGCAGACUGAGCUUCUGACCUCUGCCGCACUGACUGCGGAGGUCAACGCCUUGAAGAGGAACCUCGAGCUGUCCGAGAGCGAGCUCGGCCGUGCCAAGAAGCAGCUCGAGGACAAGGAAGUUGAGUAACCCCUUAUUUAAAGUUGUACCUUACAGAAAAGGAUUUGGUUGCAAGAGGAAUGACAAGGAUAACGUGGGUAUUCCAGGGCUACGAGCGAGGUGGCAACCCUGAAGGAGGCGGCAUCCGCGGCUGAACGCAAUGCGACCGCGGAACGCGCCGAGCGAGAGAAGCAGGAGGCGCGGGUGGCGGAGGUACGGCAAGAGCUCCACGCUCUCGUGGAAAAACACGAGAGUUUGGAGCGUGACUUGAAGACUCGGGAGUCCAAGCUUGCGUCGGCUCUUGAGAGCGCCAAAGCCGAAGCCCACAAGGCCCUCCAGGAGAUUGAGGCAUUGAAGAAAAUAGCGGCGGAUAAGGCAUUCAUCAUGCAAAGCAAGCAUGUAAAAGUAAAUUACCUGUUACUUACCCGAAUUCGGAGCUCUCCAGGAGUGUUCACAGAUCUGCCCUGUAGCAUGUCCGACGCUGCCGCUUUCUACAGAGCCGAGGAGGGAGCUCGACGGAGAAGGUGUUCUGGUCUCAGUAUGCUGAGGCCGGACAUCCGGUGCCCCUUAGCGACUAGCUAAAGCAGCUGGUCGAGCUCCACAAGGUGGCCAAACAGGCCAUGAAGGGCCUCAUAGUUCGGUUGUGGCCCAACGAGGCCAUGCCUGGGAGCUACUUCGGCCUGGUGCGGCGGCUGGUGGACGCUUGUCCGUGGGUUGAAGUCAUCAAGCGCUCCGCCUGCAUUGAAGGUGCCCGUCGGGCCCUUGCCCGUGCUAAGGUGCACUGGGGCAAGAUGGACGCUGAGAAGCUUGUGACGGACGCGCCACCGCCGGGCAAGGAGUAUCGCACGCCCGAAAUGUAUUAUAAGGGUGUCAUGAAGGGUGCCCGCAUUAUUGCGGGAGAGUGCUCCAACGAUGUAAUAUUUGAGUAGACUCGCAUUUUGUUAUCCUGUGCGCUGAAAACUUUGUUCAUAUGCGCUAAGCAAUGCUUGUUAAUUUAAAAUAUUACCUUCUGUGCGGCCAUUUAUCAAAUCUGAGAGAUGGCAAGUCAUCGGCUUCAGCCCCCAUGCCACGAGUGCUGGGGUGUUCGGGAUAAACUUGAGCGCUCUUGUUCCCAUUUUUGGUGCCAUCUAGGGAGGCGCCCAACACGACGAACGAGGCAACCGGACUUAUAAUGCUUGAACACUCUCACUUAGCCAUAGAAUUCUAUAAUUCUAAAUUUCGGCGAAGCCCCUCGUGUUCGGAAGGCCGAAUUCGGGGCGCUAUCCACGCCUGGGCCGGACAAAGCCAGUUCCUCGCUCUAAGCGGCAUAAGUCUUUAGAGACUCGGAAAAACCUCUUGAGCAGCGACCGGCUCUCGCCCCAUCAUGACGGUCAGUUUUAGCUUUCUCCACUGAGGUGCUCGCCCAGCUCAACUGGGGCACAAUCGCAGUGGUUCUCCCAGUGCUACCUUAGCCGAUAUAACGGAAUGUAAGGUACCAAAACAUGGGAGCCGGGCAAACCCAACUAUUGACCCAAGACAUGAUUCGGAGCCGAUGCAUAUAAUGCUAUAAGUUCGGGGUGCCGCACUUGUGAAAGUGUUCGGACUUAUCACACCAUAAUGUGGGGAACUUAAGCCCCUAGUGUAUUUAGCCAUACCAAAGUUUACGGAUGCAGCAUGUCAUAGAUGAACACAUGUGUAAGAAAGGAAUGCAGUGGUAGGCAAAAAGGCAUGCAUUGUUUAUUUAAAAGGUACUGCCAUGAAUGCAGAAUGACACAAAUAGUGCCAUAAGCAAGGGAUGGAACUAUUUAACAUGUCCCCCUCCAGGGGUAGGCUGCGGAAUGGUGCAUAAAACAGGUAUAAUUCUCGUAAUGGAGACCACCUGGAUACUCGGCGUGGCCUUUCUUCUUCCCUAGCUGUUGCAUCGUGAGUUCGGUAGGUCUAUUGCCGGACAGGGCCUCUGGUAAACGGAGUCCUGAGGAUAAGAAAAAAAAAGAAAAAAAAGGAAAAAAGGAUGACACACUUGGUAGCCCUUGGUGUGGUUGAGCCGCACUCUGGGCUUGCCGUGGUCGUGCCCCUCCCCCUAUGCCCAUGGUAUCUUCAGAGCGUAGUGAUGUACGCGGAGUACUGGUUUUGCAAUUUUGCAAGGGCUGGGGUUGGGGCCGCAUUGCUACGCGUGCUCGGAACGUGCCAGGUGGUCUUGUUGUAGGUUACUCCGGGCGCGCUUGGCGGUGUCCGAUCACUUAAUGGCCGGACUCGAGAAUUGCCUUAAGAGGCUGCUCUGCACUUCCGCUGUGAGAGCCGCUGUGUGCUCCUCCGUUCGGAGAGAGCGUUCUGUGUUUCCGUUGACCGUGAUGACUCCUCGAGGGCCUGGCAUCUUGAGCUUGAGAUAUGCAUAGUGCGGCACCGCAUUGAACUUUGCAAAUGCGGUUCGUCCGAGCAGUGCUUGAUAGCCGCUGCAGAACGGGACUAUGUUGAAGAUUAACUCCUUGCUUCAUAAGUUAUCCGGGGAUCCGAAGACCACUUCCAGUGUCACUGAGCCUGUACAAUUGGCCUCUGCACCUGGUAUGACGCCUUUGAAGGUCGUCUUUGUGGGUUUAAUCCUUGAGGGGUCUAUGCCCAUCUUGCGCACUGUAUCCUGGUAAAGCACGUUCAGGCUGCUGCCGCCGUCCGUCAGGACUCUAGUGAGGUGAAACCCGUCGACGAUUGGGUCUAAAACCAAUGCGGCGAAUCCGCCAUGGCGGAUGCUGGUGGGGUGGUCCCUUCGAUCAAAAGUGAUCGGGCAGGAGGACCAUGGAUUGAACUUUGGGGCGACUGGCUUCAUCGCGUAUACGUCCCUGAGUGCACGCUUCCGCUCCCUUUUGGGUAUGUGGGUAGCGUAUAUCAUGUUCACCGUCUGCACUUGUGGGGGGGAACCCUUCUGUCCUCUAUUGUUCGGCGGUCGGGUCUCUUCCUCGUCAUCGCUAUGCAGCCCCUUGUCAUUGUUUUCGGCAAUGAACUUGCCUACCUGCUUGAAUACCCAACAAUCCCUGUUGGUGUGAUUAGCUGGCUUUUCGGGGGUGCCGUGUAUCUGGCACGAGCAGUCGAGUAUUCGGUCCAAGUUGGACGGACCCGGAGUAGUUCUUUUGAAUGGCUUUUUCGGUGUCCGGGUUUGGAGCCUCUGAAUCCGGCGUUGACUGCCGUAUCCUCAGUAUUAUCGCCGUUAAUGCGGCGUUUGUGCUUGUUGCGACGCGACCUGCCAUUACGGUGCUUGGUAUCCGGACUGCCAGAAUUUUUUUUGAGGUUGUUACUGCGGGCUAGCCAGCUGUCUCUCCCGCGUAGAAGCGGGUCAUGAGUGAUGUGAGGGCUGCCAUGGAUUUCGGAUUUUCCUGUCCUAGGUGCCGGGCAAGCCACUCGUCAUGGAUGUUAUGCUUGAAGGCUGCAAGGGCCUCUGCAUCCGGACAGUCAACGAUUUGAUUUUUCUUGGUUAAGAACCAUGUCCAGAAUUGUCUGGCCGAUUCGUCUGGCUGCUGAAUUAUGUGGCUUAGGUCAUCAACGUCUAGUGGUCGCACUUAUGUGCCCUGGAAGUUAUCAAGGAAUGCGGCUUCCAGGUCCUCCCAACACCCAAUUGAUUCUGCUGGCAAGUUGUUAAGCCAAUGCCGAGCUGGUCCUUUAAGCUUGAGCAGGAGGUAUUUGAUGGCGUGAAGAUCAUCACCGCGGGCCAUGUGGAUAUGAAGGAGAUAGUCUUCGAUCCAAACCGCGGGGUCUGUUGUGCCAUCGUAGGAUUCAAUGUUCAUGGGUUUGAACCCUUCGGGGAUUUGAUGAUCCAUUACUUCAUCUGUGAAGCAUAGUAGGUGUGCGGCGCCUCUAUAUUGGGCUAUAUCACGACGUAGCUCAAGCGAGCUUUGUCUACUGUGUUCGGCCCGGCCGGAGUUGCUGUAUCCGGCGCGACGGUCAUCGUCGCGUAUUAUGGGGCGCCCACGCGAUCCGUAGAUCGAUCUUGAUUGUCUUGCUUUAUCCUCCAAUAUGUCUCGCAAAUCCGGCGCAUUCCCUUGUGGCUUUGUACUUUUCGAGUGAUGCCGGGGUACGGCUUCAGUGGAGGGCCUGGAGGCCUCUCUGUCACGGCCACGAGGUGGCCGGUCGGCCGUAUUGUGCGCUGGUGAUGUGGGUUUGUAUGCUUCCUCCUCUAAUCGGGGCAGCAGCUUGCGUUUGGGGUAGCUUUUGGAGGGGCGUUCGAGUUCGUACUCUUCGGCCGCAAGGACUUCGGUCCAUCUGUCGGCUACUUGCCGUGGCCAUAAGCCUGCGCUUAAAAUGCUCUUGUUCGAUGGGAUCCUCAGGCACGACGAAUUCGUCGUCAUCGAGGCUUGCCUCGUCUUCGGAGGGAGGCAUAUAGUUGUCGUCCUCCACCUCUCUGUCGGCCGCUCUCUCAUGAGGGCUGGCACCUUCGUCCUCCUGCACUGAAUCCUACUGGAGGGGGUUAUCUUCGGCACUAUCCGGCGUGUUGUUAUCUCCGGUGCCAGAUUCGCUAUUUUUGCUUUGGCGGAAUUUAGAGCGGUGCCGCUGACGUCGGCGCUUUGGUUGCUUCUUGGAGGGGUCAUCCUCCGUUUGUUCCUCGCCAUCCCCUGCUUUGGGGGUGUCCACCAUGUAUAUGUCAUAUGACGAGGUGGCUUUCCAGUGCCCCGUAGGCGCUGGUUCUUGAUCGUCUCCGGCAUCGUCGUCCACAUCGUCGAUGUCUUCGGAGUCGAAGUCUCGCAUGUCGGUUAAGUCGUCGACAGUGGCUACAAAGUGGGUGGUGGGUGGGCUUUGAAUUUCUUCGUCGUCCGUAUCCCAACCUUGCUGACCAUAGUCCGGCCAGGGCUCUCCUGGCAAAGAGAUAGACUUUAGGGAGUUCAGGAUAUCGCCAAAGGGCGAGUGCUGAAAGACGUCCGCGGCGGUGAACUCCAUGAUCGGAGCCAAAUCGGGUUUGAUCGGAAGGGGUGCGGAAGAUUCGGAGUCCGGAACGGAGUCCGGCACCUUGGAGUUACGGGCCUUGCAAAGGACUAGGCUGGUAUUCGGCUCUAUCACCGUGGAGAUUGCGGCCCCUGGGGCGACGUCCAAUCGUUCGUCCCUGGUUAGCGCAGUCGGCUCCGAGCUAAUGGUCGGAGCGAACUCCUGAGCGGCACUCUGGGCGCUGUCCGGCAGCAGAUCUAGAUCAUGCCCAUCGAGACAGUGCGGCGCGCUCGGCCGUGGCUCGAAUCCGUCGAAGAUCAAGUCCCCGCGGAUGUCGGCCGUGUAGUUCAAGCUUCCAAACCUGACCUGAUGGCCAAGGGCGUAGCUUUCGAUCUGCUCCAGAUGGCCAAACGAGUUGGCCCGCAGUGCAAAGCCGCCGAAUACAAAGAUCUGUCCGGGGAGAAAAGUCUCACCCUGGACCGCAUCGUGGUUGAUGAUCGAAGAAGCCAUUGGGCCUAAAGGCGAUGACAUAGAGGAACUCUCAAUGAAAGCACCAAUGUCGGUGUCAAAACCGGCGGAUCUCGGGUAGGGUGUCCCGAACUGGGUGUCUAGGCGGAUGGUAACAGGAGACAAGGGACACGAUGUUUUACCCAGGUUUGGGCCCUCUCGAUGGAGGUAAAACCCUACGUCCUGCUUGAUUAAUAUUGAUGAUAUGGGUAGUACAAGAGUAGAUCUACCACGAGAUCAAGGAGGCUAAACCCUAGAAGCUAGCCUAUGGUAUGAUUGUUGUUCGUCCUAUGGACUAAAAACCCCCGGUUUAUACAGACACCGGAGAGGGCUAGGGUUACACAGAGUCGGUUACAAUGGUAGGAGUUCUACAUAUCCUUAUCGCCAAGCUUGCCUUCCACGCCAAGGAAAGUCCCAUCCGGACACGGGACGAAGUCUUCAAUCUUGUAUCUUCAUAGUCUUGGAGUCCGGCCAAUGAUGAUAGUUCGGCUAUCCGGACACCCCCUAGUCCAGGACUCCUCAUAGGGCAUCUAUCCAAGAAGUUAUACUAUUCCUAUAUUUACACUUGAUUCUGUGAGCUAAAAGAGAAAUGUCUUGAAUAAAAUUCCUCCUCCAGGAUAUGAAAGUAGGCAACUCAUUUCUAAAAAUCUUCCCAUUCCUCUUUAUCCAAAUAUUCCAAGUAGCCGUGAAGACUACCUCAGUAAAAAAUGGGUAGCCAAAGUCCUUCCUAGCAGCGCAAGCCAUCUCAAAAGUAGUCUGGUUAGGAUGAACACUCCAUGAGAUGCCCAAGUAAUUCCAGACACAUUGCCUGAAGUUGCAAACAAAGAAUAGAUGAGCUCUAUCCUCAUGCAAAGCUGAGAGACACGUAACACACGUGUCAUCCUGGAUAUUCCAAUGUCGUCGCUGCAUCAUGUCCCUAGUGUUUAGAUGAUCCAUCAAGAGGAGCCAGGCAAACACCUUGAUCUUGAGUGUGCAAGAACAUUUCCAGAUCCACCCGAAAAUGGGGUCAACCACGAUGUCUGAAAAAUAAGACAAGUAAUAAAUCCUUGAGUGAUAAUCACCAGAUUUUGAAGGCCAUUUCCAGACAUCAUUUUCCCCCUCCUAAAGAUUAAUCAGAGGCAUUGAAGCCUGGAGCUGAUUGAAUUCCUCGAAGGCUUCUAACGAUAAAGGCAGGUGAAAAUUUUCGGUCGGGUCAGACAACUCCAUCACAUCCUUGAUGGUAAGCAUGUCAUCAAUCACAAAAGAGUGAAGCCUCGGGAAUCGUUGUUGCAUGAGAACCACAUUGUUAUUAAGUUGCCAAUGAUCCAACCAAAAAACCACUGUAUCCCCCGACCGAACGUGAGGGACUGCCAACUUGCAAAACUUGUCAUACAGCUUCAACACGUCCUGCCACCAGAAAGAACCACAACUUUGAGUGACUUGGGGGGGGGGGUCGGCAGCAUAAUAUGUGUCCCAAAUACCCAGGGCACGUCCAAUUUAUUAACAAAUUUAAAGAGAUGCUUGAUCAACAAGGCAUCGUUUUGUAUGCCUAGAUCAAGCACUCCAAGGCCUCCCCGAUUCUUAGGCCGACAGACCAAAUCCCAAGCUGCCAAUGAUUGUUGUGGCGUAUCCGUGUUCCCCCUCCACUAACAUUGUCGCAUGAUAUGUUUGAUCUGCUUCAAAAUUCCUUGUGGCAACGAGAGAGUGCAAAAAAAAUAUUGGCAUAGAACAAAGAACAGAUUUUAAAAGUUGCAGCCGGCUCCCUUGGUUCAAUAGACAAGAGGAAGCAGAUAAUAUUCUCUCAAUGUGAUCCACUAAGGGUAACAAGUCAUAAAUUGUGGGUCGAAAGGUACCCAUUGGCAAUCCAGGGUAGGUAAAUGGCAUGGAACCAACAUCACACCCAAGCAAAGCAGCCACACGCUUGCCCUCAUCAUCGGACAUAUUUAUUGGUAUCAACGAAGAUUUACUAAAGUUGACCCGCAGACCCGUUGACUUAGCAAAGACCUCAAGCAUUUCCUUGAAAGCAAUGAGCUAGCUGUCAAUAGCAGAAGAACAAUUAAGGUGUCGUCAGCGUACUGCACAAUCGGAUAAUCCAUCGAAGAGGUUGGUAUGGGAAGUGUGAGAAUAUUCCUUGAGCACAUCUCAUUUACCACCGACUGUAAUAAAUAAACAGCAACCACAAAUAACAAAGGAGAUAAUGGAUCUCCUUGAUGAACACCCGAACGGCAGACAAAGUGAUUACCAGGCACUCCAUUUAGAAGAACCAAAGAGGACCCAGUGGACAAGAUGCUAUCAAUCCAACUUGUCCAACAAUUAUCAAAACCCUUAAAUUUCAAGAUCCUGAGAAUCAGCUCAUGCUCAAUGCACUACGGGAAACAGGAGAUUUGCCGUCAGUACUUCCUUUGUCGUCAGCAUUUCGUCGGGACAGACGACAAAGAAAAUGUUUGCCGUCAUCAGUAGACGACAAAGAAAAAGUAAUGGCAAAAUAGACUUUGCCGUCUGUCUUUUAUAUUACAGAUGGCAAAGAGUAGAUUUUGCCGUCUGUAAAAAUAAAUACAGACGGCAAAGAGCUUUGUUGUAUGCCUUUUUUAUUUUAAAUGGCAAAGAGCUGACUUUGUCGUCUGUAAUAUAAAACGCAGAUGGCAAAGAACUUUGCCGUCUAUGAUUUUAUUAACAUACGGCAAAGUGCUUACUUUGCCGUCUGUAAAUAGAACCACAGACGGCAAAGAGAAAACACAAGUCCACGGAUCGAUCACGCGGAUCGCUGACAUGGCUAAAUCUCCUCCACACAUCCCCACGAGGCAAAACCCACCAGCCCCACGUCCCACGCCCUCUGUCCACCUUAUCCACCUGCCACCCCCACGCCCCACCACUCAUCCCUCUCUUACGUCUCUCUCUCUCUCUCUCUCUCUCUCUCUCUCUCUCUCUCGAUCUGGAGGACACCAGCACCCGCGGCCACCUCUCCUCCCAGCCUCUGCCUCACCGGCCAUGGCCUUGCUCGCUGUCCUCGACCCCAUCGCUCCCACCGGCCCCCGGCCCCGGCCCCCUUCGCCUCGGCCGACCUCAGUGCGAGUAACCCGUCGCCCCCACCAGCCGCUGGCGUCGGCUCCGUCUCCCCUACCGGCCGCUGGCCUUGGCUCCGUCUCCCCCACCGGCCGCUGGCAUCGGUUCCGUCUCCCCCACCGGCCACUGGCCUCGGCUCCGUCCCCCGUCGCUCCUGCCUACUUCGUCCCCGGCCCCGUCCCCCGUCGCCCCCGCCUACCCCCGGCCGCGCGGGCAGCGGGCAUGGCGGACACGCAGGCGACGAGCAUGGAAGACCCGCGGGUGGUGCAGGCGCGUGGCGGCCUCGUCCCUCUGGCGCGCGGCGGCCUCUUCCCUCUAGCGCGCGGCGGCAUCGUCCCUCGAGCAUGGCGUGCAUCGGCCGCCCGACGCUGCACUGGCGCACGGUGGUGCCCCCCUCUCUCUCUCUCCAGGAACCAGGGAGCUCGAGCACGGCCGGGCGGUGGUGCGGAUUACCAGGGUCAGCCAAGCGGCGCGGGCGAGUGUGGUUGUCCGGUGGUGCAGCGAGUAGGGUCGGGCGAGCGGGGCGAUGAGCAGGGCGAGGCAGCGGCAGUGGUGUCUCUGUGGUAUUGUCCCUAGCGAGAAGGACGGCCGGCAGUGAAGAACCUGUUGCUGUGAUGGAGGACUUGAUUGCUUUUCAUUUUUAGUUUCUAGGGGUCCCUGUGUAAAUUUUGAGGACACUUCUGUAACUUCUUCUUUGUAAUCACCGACGAUGAAUGCAACACAGCAAGGCCGUGUCGAAUCCAAAAUCUCCUUGAGCUAAACCUUUUUUGGUUUGUUGUUUGUGUGUCCGGCGAGAUGCUCUGCUCAUACGUCACUUUUUU